rnacentral:rRNA from 1 species
UACGUAGGGUGCAAGCGUUAAUCGGAAUUACUGGGCGUAAAGCGUGCGCAGGCGGUUUUAUAAGACAGAUGUGAAAUCCCCGGGCUCAACCUGGGAACUGCAUUUGUGACUGUAGAGCUGGAGUACGGUAGAGGGGGAUGGAAUUCCGCGUGUAGCAGUGAAAUGCGUAGAUAUGCGGAGGAACACCGAUGGCGAAGGCAAUCCCCUGGACCUGUACUGACGCUCAUGCGCGAAAGCGUGGGGAGCAAACAGG